GAUGAACGCUGGCGGCGUGCCUAAUACAUGCAAGUCGAGCGAACAGAUGAGGAGCUUGCUCCUCUGACGUUAGCGGCGGACGGGUGAGUAACACGUGGAUAACCUACCUAUAAGACUGGGAUAACUUCGGGAAACCGGAGCUAAUACCGGAUAAUAUAUUGAACCGCAUGGUUCAAUAGUGAAAGACGGUUUUGCUGUCACUUAUAGAUGGAUCCGCGCCGCAUUAGCUAGUUGGUAAGGUAACGGCUUACCAAGGCAACGAUGCGUAGCCGACCUGAGAGGGUGAUCGGCCACACUGGAACUGAGACACGGUCCAGACUCCUACGGGAGGCAGCAGUAGGGAAUCUUCCGCAAUGGGCGAAAGCUUGACGGAGCAACGCCGCGUGAGUGAUGAAGGUCUUCGGAUCGUAAAACUCUGUUAUUAGGGAAGAACAAAUGUGUAAGUAACUAUGCACGUCUUGACGGUACCUAAUCAGAAAGCCAUGGCUAACUACGUG
rnacentral:rRNA from 1 species